rnacentral:rRNA from 1 species
CCCUUAGAUGUUCUGGGCUGCACGCGCGCUACACUGAUGCGAUCAACAAGUUUUUCCUAUGUCGAUAGACACGGGUAAUCUUUUGAACUCGCAUCGUGAUGGGGAUAGAUUAUUGUAAUUAUUAAUCUUCAACGAGGAAUUCCUAGUAGGUGCAAAUCAUCAGUUUGCAUCGAUUACGUCCCUGCCCUUUGUACACACCGCCCGUCGCUGCUACCGAUUGGUUGAUCUGGUGAAUUAUUCGGACUGCCGGCUGAAGGGGUUUCCUCAUCUGCCAGCGGAAAGUCUUGUUAACCCUAUCAACUAGAGGAAGCAGAAGGCGUAACA